CUCCCUCUCCUCCUCCCGGAGCCCAGGGGCGGGGGCCGCCUCCACCAGCCCUCGCAGGGCCUGGCCCAGAUCCCCCAGGCCCCUGACGGCCUCCACCAGCCGGCCCAGCUCCAGGCCCGCGGCCCUCCUCUCGGCGCGGCUCUGCUGCACGGCCUGGGUCAGGAUCCGCAGCUGCUUCCCCACGUCCCUCACGGCGCCCACCAGCUCCCGCAGGGCCGGCGGCUCGCAGGCCAUGACUCGGAGGACGGCCGGGGCGGCCCCCACGCACUGGCCUGUCUCCACGUCCCGGGGGGCCGUGGGGCCUGCUGCCGGGGGCUGCUCGGGGCCGGGCUUGGGAGUCGGGGCCGGGGCGGGGACGGGACCGGGGUUAACGGUGGGCACCGCGGCCGCCAUGAGGCUCGAGUCCCGGGCAGUGGGGGUCGGGGGAGGCGCAGGGCUGGAGCCGGGGGCAGGGCCGAGACCUCUGGCCGUCUCCGAAGGGGCCGGGGAGACUUGGAGGGGACCCUGGCCGGGGGCUGGGGGAGGCUGUGCGCCGCCGGGAGGCUGGGGCCCUGGGGCCGUCCCUGAGCUGGCCGGGGCCACGCUGGCUGGCUGGGACGUGGGGCUGAGCUCUGGAGCUUCUGCUGUCCAAGAGGGCAAGGGCAGGGUCCGCCCGUGGGCGCUGGGGGGGGUGGUGGUCAUCUCCGGGCCUGGGGAUGGGCUAAGCUCCAGCUCAGUUUGGGUGGGAUUAAAGGCGGGGGUCAGCCGCGGGGGCUGAGAGGUCAGCACUGGGGUGGAGGUGGGGUCAGAAGGCAUCUGCAGGGACAUGUCAGAGGUCAGGAGGGAGAUAGAAUCAGGAGUGAAUCGUGGUGCGGUGGAGGGAGAAGUCAACAGUGGGCUAGAAUCAGAGGUCAGGUCUAAGGGGGAGUUAGGGGUCAGCUGUGGGCUGGGGUCAGAGGUCAGGUCUAAGGGGGAGUUAGGGGUCAGCUGUGGGCUAGGGUCAGAGGUCAGGUCUAAGGGGGAGUUAGGGGUCAGCUGUGGGCUAGGGUCAGAGGUCAGGUCGAGGGGAGAUUUAGUGGUCAGCUGUGGGCUAGGGUCAGAGGUCAGGUCUAGGGGAGAGUUAGGGGUCAGCCGUGGGCUAGGGUCAG
rnacentral:lncRNA from 1 species